rnacentral:rRNA from 1 species
AACGAACGCUGGCGGCAGGCUUGACACAUGCAAGUCGAACGCCCCGCAAGGGGAGUGGCAGACGGGUGAGUAACGCGUGGGAAUCUACCCAUCCCUACGGAACAACUCCGGGAAACUGGAGCUAAUACCGUAUACGCCCUUAGGGGGAAAGAUUUAUCGGGGAUGGAUGAGCCCGCGUUGGAUUAGCUAGUUGGUGGGGUAAAGGCCUACCAAGGCGACGAUCCAUAGCUGGUCUGAGAGGAUGAUCAGCCACAUUGGGACUGAGACACGGCCCAAACUCCUACGGGAGGCAGCAGUGGGGAAUAUUGGACAAUGGGCGCAAGCCUGAUCCAGCCAUGCCGCGUGAGUGAUGAAGGCCUUAGGGUUGCAAAGCUCUUUCACCGGAGAAGAUAAUGACGGUAUCCGGAGAAGAAGCCCCGGCUAACUUCGUGCCAGCCGCCGCCGUAACAC